rnacentral:rRNA from 1 species
AUGUGUAGGAUGCUCGGUUUCCCCUUCGAUGAGCACUCCAUCGACUAUGGAGGAAGGCGUUGGGCCAUGACAAGGUCUCAUGGUGAAGUUCUACGGGGCCUGUUUGUAUUGUUUUUCUCUCUCAAGGUCCUUAACAUUGUUGCUUGCAUAUGUCUCGAAUUUUCUCUGCCUCUCAGUGGAUUCUUUCAUAGGGAUCAUUUUCCUCGUCCGCGAGUCUCCACCCUAUCAAAGAGUCUCAGUAACAUGAUGUUUUUAUUUAUUUAUGAUAGAGUUUGUAAAUUGGAUCUUCUAGAAAGAUCUCAGAUGUGA